rnacentral:siRNA from 1 species
GCGACAAAGCUCUCUCUCGGCGAC